rnacentral:SRP_RNA from 2 species
GACGGCCCCUCAUGUGGUGCUAUCUCGUCGAACUCCCCCAGGGCAGGAAUGCAGCAAGGGUAGAUGGGCUCUGGCAGGUGCAUGAGGGGCCUUUAAC